CCUACGGGUGGCAGCAGUAGGGAAUAUUGCUCAAUGGGGGAAACCCUGAAGCAGCAACGCCGCGUGGAUGAUGAAGGUUUUCGGAUUGUAAACUUCUUUUGUUAGAGAAGAUAAUGACGGUAUCUAACGAAUAAGCACCGGCUAACUACGUGCCAGCAGCCGCGGUAAUACGGAGGGUGCAAGCGUUACUCGGAUUUACUGGGGGUAAAGAGCGCGUAGGCGGGAUAGCAAGUCGGAAGUGAAAUCCUAUGGCUUAACCAUGGAACUGCAUUUGAAACUGUUAUUCUAGAGUGUGGGAGAGGUAAGUGGAAUUCUUGGUGUAGGGGUGAAAUGCGUAGAGAUCAGGAGGAAUACUAGUGGCGAAGGCGACCUACUGGAACGUAACUGACGCUGAUGCGCGAAAGCGUGGGGAGCAAACAGGAUUAGAUACCCUAGUAGUC
rnacentral:rRNA from 1 species